AGAUCAAUCGAUUGAACGCCAAGAUCAUCACUGCCACUAUCUUGCGAUUUAUUUUCCACGAAUACACUUUAAUUGGCCCGAGCCCCGCCCCCAAAUUCCACGACUUUUGGCUUUUCAGGAAGCAUUGUUCUCCCCUCCCCCCAGGAAGGCCGCCUCUACGCACAGCCAGCAUCAGGAAACGGCGCCGCUCGGGGCUCCGAUGGAGAGCCGGGGUGGGGUCGGCUCAAACCUUCUGCCCCCCGCUCUUUUGAGAUUCCUGAUCCCUGGCUUUGUCUUAAGCAAAAGUACUGUAGAAGCUGCAGCGUUUCCUCCCCCUUUCCAGAAACCGAGCGAGGACGUGGGGGAAAAGCCACCCUGGAACGUGUAAGGACGCUCCCCCAC
rnacentral:lncRNA from 1 species